rnacentral:lncRNA from 1 species
AAACAUGAUGCAGGAUUACUGCAUUUUUCGAUGUUAUCCUUUAUUGAGUAAAUUACACUAGUAAUUUAAUUCUAGGGGGAAAAGUCCUAAUCUAUUUUCCUAUCUUGUCCAUAUUCAAUAUUGCAUUUUUGUUUCUAGAUAUGCUGAUUAUUAACUACAAUUAUUUGUGCAAGUAGAACACUAAAAUACAAAACAUUUUUCAUUUCAACAGUUCUUAUGAAUUGCAUAGUUCUCUAAUCAGCCAUUAUUUUCAAAUGUUCUUCUGGGUAAAGGAACUGUUUUUGGAUGCUAUUCUGUAAGAGUUAUAUUUUGAUCAAUCUAGCAUUAAAAGACUUGGUCAAAUUAGUCUUGAUAUUUACAGUAUUAACUCAAGAGAG